rnacentral:lncRNA from 10 species
CUGGGAUGGGUGAUUUCCCUCUGGCUAGGGCUGGUCUAAAUGCUCUCUCCAGGCACCAGCUGAGUUCUGCCCAGUGCUGCUUUCCAGAGUGACAGGACAGCACUAAGUUCCAAUACAAAGUCCCACAAUUGUUAUGCUUUCCCUGGGUAUCAGCAGUGGAGGCUGCAGAACAGCAAAUAUUGGUGAACAUCUAAUGUUGCUGCCUGAUUGUUCCUCUGGAAUGAGGCCAGCAUCAUCCUGAUACCAAAGCCUGGCAGAGACACAACAAAAAAAGAGAAUUUUAGACCAAUAUCCAUGAAGAACAUUGAUGCAAAAAUCCUCAAUAAAAUACUGGCAAACUGAAUCCAGCAACACAUCAAAAAGCUUAUCCAGAAUUGAAUAAUGAGAACACAUGGACACAGGAAGGGGAACAUCACUCCCCGGGGCCUGUUGUGGGGUGGGCGGAGGUGGGGAGGGAUAGCAUUAGGAGAUAUACCUAAUGUAAAUGACGAGUUCAUGGGUGGAGCAAGCCAACAUGGCACAUGUAUACAUAUGUAACAAACCUGCACGUUGUGCAUAUGUACCCUAAAACUUAAAGUAUAAU